UUGGUACAGUCCUGUUUUAGAAUUCCUACGCUUUACCCUGUAAAAUCUGGCAAAGCGUCUGAAUUCUGAAAUGGGACCUGU
rfam:Rhodnius prolixus Rhodnius_prolixus-3.0.3-423.16, whole genome shotgun sequence.